rnacentral:lncRNA from 1 species
CUUGGAGGACACUCACCCCAUGGUCCAUGGGAUGCUUCUGGCUUCCUUAAAAACAGUUGGGCAUCCGCAUUGUAUAAGUAGGUGGAGACCCUAGUGUGGUUCUUUUGAAGGAUAUGGGAAGGGAGGAUGACGAACUAGAGAAGUGGGAGGGGACCAAAAUCACUGAGGUCCCAGAAUAUCAUAGAUUUGGGUAUAGGAUUGGGGUCACUAAGAAUUGAGCACCAGGAAUUCCAGCUUCUUCCCAUUAAAGAAACUGGGACUGGUUUUGCCUUGGAGGCCUAUGUAGUGUUUUCUGCCCCUGUCCCAUACCAAGUCUCAUUGAUAUUUCUGCAGAAUAUCAGAUGAAAAUCUAUUUCUAAAGACCAUUGGGAGAAUGGGUGGUGGAGAAGGAGUUGGAGUGGGGUUGGGGGGCAGUUAAAAAUGAAUAAAAAUCUCUCAGCUACAGAACCCAAACAUCACUUCCCUCCGCAUUCACAGCAUUUCCCAGCAGUCCCCAGAUGGUUGUUUCCGUGGGGACACAGCAGCUGCCUCAUUUCCCUUCAGGCCCCAUGGGCUGCUGGUCAACCUCAGGAUCUACUAAAGAUGACGCAAAUGCCGACUGAACAAUCUGAAACCCAAAGGACUCGAGGAGAGACAUGUUCUGCUGAGGAGAGAAAGACUCAACCUCCUUCCCUGGCUGCUGAAUUUCAUAUGCCAGUGAAUCAACCAGCAAAAGCUCUCAAGCCGG